rnacentral:sRNA from 1 species
UUGCGACCGUGAUAGUAGUGAAAAGCUUUGAGCUAAAAAAAACUUAUUUUUUGCCAACAGAAAAAGCGACUAAAAGAAGCUCUUUUCUGUUGUUGCAAAAAUAGUUUUUUUAGCGAGAACUUGAAACGGAUAGCACGAAUUGUC